rnacentral:rRNA from 1 species
GGUAGCCUACCUACGGGGCGCAGCAGUGGGGAAUAUUGCACAAUGGGCGCAAGCCUGAUGCAGCGACGCCGCGUGAGGGAUGGAGGCCUUCGGGUUGUAAACCUCUUUUAUCGGGGAGCAAGCGAGAGUGAGUUUACCCGUUGAAUAAGCACCGGCUAACUACGUGCCAGCAGCCGCGGUAAUACGUAGGGUGCAAGCGUUAUCCGGAAUUAUUGGGCGUAAAGGGCUCGUAGGCGGUUCGUCGCGUCCGGUGUGAAAGUCCAUCGCUUAACGGUGGAUCCGCGCCGGGUACGGGCGGGCUUGAGUGCGGUAGGGGAGACUGGAAUUCCCGGUGUAACGGUGGAAUGUGUAGAUAUCGGGAAGAACACCAAUGGCGAAGGCAGGUCUCUGGGCCGUUACUGACGCUGAGGAGCGAAAGCGUGGGGAGCGAACAGGAUUAGAUACCCUGGUAGUCCACGCCGUAAACGGUGGAUGCUGGAUGUGGGGACCAUUCCACGGUCUCCGUGUCGGAGCCAACGCGUUAAGCAUCCCGCCUGGGGAGUACGGCCGCAAGGCUAAAACUCAAAGAAAUUGACGGGGGCCCGCACAAGCGGCGGAGCAUGCGGAUUAAUUCGAUGCAACGCGAAGAACCUUACCGGGGCUUGACAUGUUCCCGACAGCCGUAGAGAUACGGUCUCCCUUCGGGGCGGGUUCACAGGUGGUGCAUGGUCGUCGUCAGCUCGUGUCGUGAGAUGUUGGGUUAAGUCCCGCAACGAGCGCAACCCUCGCCCUGUGUUGCCAGCACGUCGUGGUGGGAACUCACGGGGGACCGCCGGGGUCAACUCGGAGGAAGGUGGGGAUGACGUCAAAUCAUCAUGCCCCUUACGUCCAGGGCUUCACGCAUGCUACAAUGGCCGGUACAACGGGAUGCGACGCGGCGACGCGGAGCGGAUCCCUGAAAACCGGUCUCAGUUCGGAUCGCAGUCUGCAACUCGACUGCGUGAAGGCGGAGUCGCUAGUAAUCGCGAAUCAGCAACGUCGCGGUGAAUGCGUUCCCGGGCCUUGUACACACCGCCCGUCAAGUCAUGAAAGUGGGCAGCACCCGAAGCCGGUGGCCUAACCCUUUGUGGAUGGAGCCGUCUAAGGUGAGGCUCGUGAUUGGGACUAAGUCGUAACAAGGUAGCCGUACCGGAAGGUGCGGCUG